CGUAGGUGGCAAGCGUUGUCCGGAAUCAUUGGGCGUAAAGGGCGCGUAGGCGGGUAAUUAAGUCAGAUGUGAAAACCCCGAGCUCAACUCGGGAACUGCAUCUGAUACUGGAUAUCUUGAGUGCAGGAGAGGACAGUGGAAUUCCUAGUGUAGCGGUGAAAUGCGUAGAUAUUAGGAGGAACACCAGUGGCGAAGGCGGCUGUCUGGACUGUAACUGACGCUGAGGCGCGAAAGCGUGGGGAGCAAACAGGAUUAGAUACCCUGGUAGUCCACGCCGUAAACGAUGGGUACUAGGUGUAGGAGGUAUCGACCCCUUCUGUGCCGGAGUUAACACAAUAAGUACCCCGCCUGGGGAGUACGGCCGCAAGGUUG
rnacentral:rRNA from 1 species